CGACUUAGCUCAGUAGGUAGAGCAACUGACUUGUAAUCAGUAGGUCACCAGUUCGAUUCCGGCACCAUCAA
rnacentral:tRNA from 1 species